GGAGUUGUGGCUCAGUGGUAGAGCACUCACCUAGCACAUGUGAGGCACUGGGUUUGAUCCUCAGCACCA
rnacentral:tRNA from 2 species